UAUAUCGUAUGGCUCAUUUAAUUAUUUUGAGGUAAUUAGUGAUAUAUAUAUUAUAAUACAUAAGUUUUUUGGUUGAAAAUGAAAGAUUGAUACAGCCUUAUGUAAAUCUCUUAUAUCAGGUCAGCAGUGUUCAUUUUAGUCUCCUGUCCAAAGUUAAGUAUGACAUUGGUGAUUCUUGUUCGUUGGAUUACCUUAUUGAUAGCAUUUUCCCUCUAUUCAGAAAGCAUAUUGAGCCAGACCUUCAUCAUGCACAGAUUAGAAUUAACAACAGCUUUGUUUCAUCAUUUUGAGAGGUAAUCUAUAAACUAAAAUGCAAAACUAAGUCUUGAGGUGGACAAUCUGCAUAUUUUCUUCAAGAAUAUGAAGUAGAAACAGAUAAUUUUAUUGAGAUGUACCUUAGACCUCCUUCAGCCAGUGAAGAAGCACUGACAAAUGAUUGGAUAAAAGUGCGUCAAUCUGGUAUUAGAUAUUAUCUAUCUCUUGGUGAUCAAAGGAUUGUUGACAAGAAUUUCAUUAUCAAGCCAAAAGUUGAGUUUGAGGUAAGGCAUAUCUUCUUAGUGAUUACUAACAAAAUUUUCACAUUGAUAGGCGAAAUUAUUUCAAUAAGCCAUGAUUUUCAAGCAUGUGAAUAGUAAAAAGACCCAAGCUUGUCAGGCCUUACAUUUCCUGUUAUAUAUUGCUUUCUGAGUUGGAAAUUCCUUUAUCCUUGCUAUAUCCAUGCAAC